GAGCGAGACUCCAUCUUAACAACAACAACAAGACAAACGCACAAGAUUUGGGGACUCAGCCAGGCCGGGGUUUGGUUCUUGGUUCUGUCACUUGCUAGCUCAGUGGCUUUUGGCAAGUCAGUUUAUCUGCAGCUUCGUUGCUACCUCUACAUUAUGGAGAUGAAAGUGUCCACCUCCAAGUGUGGUUUUGAAGAUUCAAUGAGAUAAUGUGAAUAAAGUGUGUAGCGAAGUGUUUGGCACAAAGCUAAUAUUGAGUCAUUUAUUAUUACCACGGACAUUAAUAAUCAGAGGAAAAUAAGUUUUAAAGGUAAAACUUCUUUUGCGAGAAACCCUCAUGGACACAGGCAGCGGAGUGGCGAAGCGAUCCCUGAGGUCAGGUUCUGAGUUCAGAACCAGGGCAAAGCACAGAGCAAGCGGCACUCAAGUCUUCCCAGUGAAGAUGCUUUUGGUUGCAAGGAGCAGAAACUCUCUCACUGAGCUGGAGUCCUGAAUUCGUUAUGAUAUCAGGUGUCAGGGAAACCAGGCCAAGAGAUGCCACCAGCUUUCAUGAAGCACCAGUACAGAAAUAUGGACGCCAAUACCAUGACCCUCUCUUCCCAUCUCUUCCCUCUCCUUUCCUUCUACACCUGCUCUGUGCCCCAGGUCCACAGCAUCCCAGCGGUGAGUGCCUGUGUUACAUGUCCUCACUUCGGCCACGUGCCGAGGCCCAAUUCCUGCGGGUUCUGAUUGGCCAGCUCGAGUCAGGUGUCCAUCCACGGUCCAAUCAGAUAUGACCAAGGGGGGCCAGGGCCACACUACAAACAUGGCUGCUUUAGGGCCUGGUUUGUGGACAAUGAGAAAUGCUGCCAAGUUCCGGGCUUGCUCUUUUCUCCUCUCUGCUCAGGCCUCUCCCUCCUCCUUCAUGAUUUAGGCUGCUUUAGGCCAUGCAGCUGUGGCUCAUAUUGAACCUUCACUGCAUCUGUGAGGCAGGUACAGCUGACACUCUUACUGGUGACUCACAGAGGAUCAAAGGUCUGAGUGACUUCAGAUGACGUGCACCACCCUCCUGGGCCAUGGAGAUCCACGUGGCUAGGAUGGCUUCCAGCUAGACCUACAGCUCAGGAGGGGAAACUGAGGCUCAAGGAAGAGACAGCCCUGCUCAAGACCAUUAACCCAGCCAGAGGCAAGACUCCAAGUGCCGCGCCUCCACACUGGGAAACCACGCCGGGCGCUCGCAGUUAUUUCACGCACUGGAAUAAGCACUCGUCUGCCAGACAUUGUUCCAGGUGCUUUACAAAUACUCAUACUUUUAGUCCUCACCCACCAGACAGGUAGAACUGUUAUUCCCACUCUUCAGAUGGGAAAACUGAGGCCUAGGGAAGUUAAGUAACAUGAUCAGGCAAAGCCCUGGUCUAUACCAUGUCUGUAUCCCUCAUGGGGAAAAUCGCAUCAAACAGGCCCUCUGAGCUGUGGGGGUCAGCCUGCUGCCCGAGGCCGAUCUUGAUGUUUGUGGGGCCCUGCAUGUCAGCGGACCAGGGCAAAGUUAAUAUUAGUGAUAACUACCCAGAAGAAGCCCCUACUCUCCCUCGCCUCCACUCUGAGAUUUUGUUUCCUUUUAAGUCUCCUAAUCAUUGUACCUCAGUUUGGGAUGUAGAGGGCUUGUCGCUGGCUGUCAGAGCAGGGACUCAACCCAGCCAGUCCAGUGUAGAGGCAUCGUGACCGCAGCCAGGAGCCAAACUGUGCCCUACACCCAGGGUUCCCCUGUCUGUGCCGCCGUGCCCCUUGAUCACGAGCAUCCUGGAAUCUGUUGGAGUAACUGGGAACUUGGCCGCUACAGCUGGCCUGUCCCCGGCUCAAAGCUGCCCAUCACCAGCCAGGAGAGCCUGGGUGAGUGUCUUCACCUGGGGGCCUCCGUUUCCUCACCUCUGCGCAGCUAAUAUUAGAUAAUACCCCAUCAGGUGCCCAGCUCAGAGCCUAGCAGCAAGAUGGCAGGAUAAGUGGCAGCCGUGGCCGCGGCCACGGUGGGAUCAGCCUCCGUGGAGGCCCCGGAGCAGCCCGGCCAGGUGCUCUCUCCUCCGCCACGUCUUAAUGACUCUCUCACUUUGUAACUAAAAUCCUCCUUUCGGGGUCGCAAUCCCGCCGGGCUGGAAAGCCUGCAGGAGACAAUGGUAUUUAAGCACCUGUCUGUCCCUGGGAACGGGGGCAGAAACUUGGCUUCAAAGCUGCAAGGAACAAUGGCAGGGAGAAAUAACGCCAGCCAAUAACCAUCGAGCCCUCUCGAAAUCCUGAGAUGAGUUACAGUGAUUAGGAGGCUUAAAAGGAAACAAAAUCUGGGAGUGGAGGGGGAGAGGCGAGGGGAGGAGAGCUUAGCCCAGGUAGCUAUUCGAUUAACUAAUACUAACUUUGCACAGGUCCCCUGACGUCCAGGCCCCCGAAGAUGUGAGGAUCGGCCUCAGGCAGCAGCCUGUCCUCCCACAGCUCAGGGCAGCUGUUUAAUGUAACGCCCCAAAUCAGGGCUAUGUGUAUGUUAUGGAGGUGGGUGGGAAGGGCCAGAGAGUCAAUAUUUUAGGCUCUUUGGGUCCUAUGGUCUCUCUCAAAUGGCUCAACCUCCCCUUGCCGCUCCAGGGGAGCCACAGACAAUGCAGAAACAGCCACCUCACCUGGCAUGAGCCACCGUGCCCGGCAACACUUGAAUUUUAUAUAAUUUGUCAUGAAAUAGCAUU
rnacentral:lncRNA from 1 species